rnacentral:rRNA from 1 species
UAAUACGAACGGUCCUAGCGUUGUUCGGUGUCAUUGGGCUUAAAGCGUGCGUAGGCGGAGGCGUCAGUGUCUUGUGAAAUCCCACGGCUCAACCGUGGAACUGCAGGGCAUACUGCGUCUCUUGAGGCCAGCAGAGGCGGCCGGAACUGUAGGUGUAGCGGUGAAAUGCGUAGAUAUCUACAGGAACGCCGAAGGUGAAGACAGGCCGCUGGGCUGGUUCUGACGCUCAGGCACGAAAGCGUGGGGAGCGAACAGGAUUAGAUACCCUGGUAGUCCACGCUGUAAACGAUGUGCACUAGGUUUGGGAGGUCUGACGCCUUCCGGGCCGAAAUGAAAACAUUAAGUGCACCGCCUGGGGAGUACGGUCGCAAGGCUA